rnacentral:siRNA from 1 species
AACCCGUGACAACGCGUCGGCCAC